rnacentral:lncRNA from 1 species
CAGCAGCCGCUUGAGGUUGGAUGGAGGAGUAGAGCAUAAAGAGCUGAUGCCUGUGCCCCAGCUGCUGGGCCAUGGCAUGGCCUCUUCCCCUGGCCACCACUGCCUGUGGGUGAGGGCUGGCUGCCACCUCCUGAAAGGGAGAAAAGGCCCCAUGGCUGUCCUGUGUAUGCCAGUAGCAGUGGCAGGUGAGCAUCCAGCAGGAAAAGCUGUGGUGCUGUGUCUCCAAUGGGUGGAAAGUAUGUUGCUGUUAAAAUAAGAUACGGAAAACAAGAAAUGUAUACAUUUUUUAAGCACAGUUAAAUGCUUACGUCCUGAGUAAACUGGAGGAGAUCGCACUAUAAAUGGAAAGAGCCCAAAUACGACUUUAAAGGAACUUUAUGCAUGAAGACAUACUUUGCAUCAGCCACCCUGGCUACACACUCCUUAGCAGAAAAAAAGAAAUACACAGACAUUUCUUACCUCUGAAUAAUUUACUACAUGUGCAUUCCCAUCAAGAUGGUGGUAAGUUAAAUGCUUAAUUUAUUUUAGCUGUAUACUCUUUCUCUCUGAUGUUUCAUGCCAAACUGCUGUGGUAAGAAGUCAAAUAUAUUAAAGACGUAUAUUUUAAUUAAAAAUAUUAGCAGAAACAUAUUAGUGUUCCUUUUUUUUUAUUAAUAGCAGAUUGUUGGCCAACUAGGCAGCAGAGUUAUUUAUUCGGAAGACAUAUGUUAUUCUGUGGAGUAAUGCUACAAGUAGGACAUGGCAUGUGAUAAGUGGUUAUGUUGGCAAACUGCUUCACUUCCCUUCUGCUAAAUUAGGGGAGCACUAGGCAAAUCCUUCCCUGGUGCAGCCUGGCGUUGCUCUGAGGACAGUGGCAGAAUUGGCCUACUUUACCCUUGGAGGAUGUCUAGCCCUGAAACCAAAGCUAUCAUUUAGACCAUGUUUGGUGUUAGCAGAAAGACAUCACUUCUCAUGAACUAAUUUAGGACUGUUAUCUGUGAAGUUGUCAGAAGAAAAUAAGGUAAUGACACAUUAUGCAUGCCAGCCUUCUU